rnacentral:rRNA from 1 species
CAGCCGCCACGGUAAUACGUAGGGUGCAAGCGUUAAUCGGAAUUACUGGGCGUAAAGCGUGCGCAGGCGGUUAUAUAAGACAGAUGUGAAAUCCCCGGGCUCAACCUGGGAACUGCAUUUGUGACUGUAUAGCUAGAGUACGGCAGAGGGGGAUGGAAUUCCGCGUGUAGCAGUGAAAUGCGUAGAUAUGCGGAGGAACACCGAUGGCGAAGGCAAUCCCCUGGGCCUGUACUGACGCUCAUGCACGAAAGCGUGGGGAGCAAACAGGAUUAGAUACCCGGUAGUCCCUGUCUCUUAUACA